GACGUAGGGGGCGAGCGUUGUCCGGAUUUAUUGGGCGUAAAGCGUGCGUAGGCGGCUGCGCAAGUCGGGUGUGAAACCCCGGGGCUCAACCCCGGAACUACAUCCGAUACUGCGUGGCUAGAGGUAGGUAGGGGAGAUCGGAAUUCCUGGUGUAGCGGUGAAAUGCGCAGAUAUCAGGAGGAACACCGGUGGCGAAGGCGGAUCUCUGGGCCUUACCUGACGCUCAGGCACGAAAGCUAGGGGAGCGAACAGG
rnacentral:rRNA from 1 species